UCCCUUGGAACAGGGCGUCCCAGAGGGUGAGAACCCCGUAUGCGACCGGUGGCCGAGCCGGGGUGAAACCCCUUCGACGAGUCGAGUUGUUUGGGAAUGCAGCUCAAAAUGGGUGGUAAAUUUCAUCUAAAGCUAAAUACGGGCCAGAGACCGAUAGCGCACAAGUAGAGUGAUCGAAAGAUGAAAAGCACUUUGGAAAGAGAGUCAAACAGUACGUGAAAUUGUUGAAAGGGAAGCGCUUGCGACCAGACCUGGGCCGGGGCGAUCAUCGGCUGUUCUCAGCCGUGCACUCGUCCGGGGAUCAGGCCAGCAUCGGUUCCGGCGGUCGGACAACGGCCGGGGGAAUGUAGCUCCCUCCGGGGAGUGUUAGAGCCCCCGGUGCAAUGCGGCCAGCCGGGACCGAGGACCGCGCUCUCGGGCUAGGAUGCUGGCGUAAUGGUUGUAAGCGACCCGUCUUGAAACACGGACCAAGGAGUCUAACAUCUAUGCGAGUGUUUGGGUGUCAAACCCAUGCGCGCAAUGAAAGUGAACGGAGGUGAGAACCCUCCCCCCCCGGGGGGGGGCCGCAUCAUCGACCGAUCCAGAAGUCUUCGGAUGGAUUUGAGUACGAGCAUAGCUGUUGGGACCCGAAAGAUGGUGAACUAUGCCUGAAUAGGGUGAAGCCAGAGAAACUCUGGUGGAGGCUCGCAGCGGUUCUGACGUGCAAAUCGAUCGUCAAAUUUGGGUAUAGGGGCGAAAGACUAAUCGAACCA
rnacentral:rRNA from 1 species